rnacentral:rRNA from 1 species
AAAAGCUCGUAGUUGAAGGUCCGGCCUUCGGGUCUGUCUGGGAGGCAUAGGGAUAAGGUAAAACUUUUCUUUAUGUUGAAUAGACUUUUACUGUGAACAAAAUAGAGUGCUUAAAGCAGGCGAUAGCUUGAAUAUCUUAGCAUGGAAUAAUAGAAUAUGACUUUAUUCACUAUGUUGGUUUUUGAAUAGAGUAAUGGUUAACAGGAACAGUUGGGGGCAUUUGUAUUUAAUAGUCAGAGGUGAAAUUCUUAGAUUUAUUAAAGACAGACUAAUGCGAAGGCAUUUGCCAAGGAUGUUUUCAUUAAUCAAGAACGAAAGUUAGGGGAUCGAAGACGAUCAGAUACCGUCGUAGUCCUAACCAUAAACUAUACCGACUAGGGAUCAGCAGGGUACACCUCUGUUGGCACCUAAUGAGAAAUCAAAGUCUUUGGGUUCAUGGGGGAGUAUGGUUGCAAAGCCGAAACUUAAAGGAAUUGACGGAAGGAUACCAGCAUUAAUGGAGCCUGCGGCUUAAUUUGAUUCAACACGGGAAAACUUACCAGGGCAAAAUAUUGAUAGGAUUGACAGAUUGAUAGCUU